rnacentral:rRNA from 1 species
GAUGAACGCUGACAGCAUGCUUAACACAUGCAAGUCAACUUGAAUUUGGGUUUUUAACUUAGGUUUGGGUGGCGGACGGGUGAGUAACGCGUAAAGAACUUGCCUCACAGCUAGGGACAACAUUUGGAAACGAAUGCUAAUACCUAAUAUUAUGAUAAUAGGGCAUCCUAUAAUUAUGAAAGCUAUAAGCGCUGUGAGAGAGCUUUGCGUCCCAUUAGCUAGUUGGAGAGGUAACGGCUCACCAAGGCGAUGAUGGGUAGCCGGCCUGAGAGGGUGAUCGGCCACAAGGGGACAGAGAGACGGCCCUUACUCCUACGGGAGGCAGCAGUGGGGAAUAUUGGACAAUGGACCGAGAGUCUGAUCCAGCAAUUCUGUGUGCAAGAUGAAGUUUUUCGGAAUGUAAAGUGCUUUCAGUUGGGAAGAAACAAAUGACGGUACCAACAGAAGAAGUGACGGCUAAAUACGUG